GACGAACGCUGGCGGCGUGCUUAACACAUGCAAGUCGAACGGAAAGGCCCUGCUUUUGUGGGGUGCUCGAGUGGCGAACGGGUGAGUAACACGUGAGUAACCUGCCCUUGACUUUGGGAUAACUUCAGGAAACUGGGGCUAAUACCGGAUAGGAGCUCCUGCUGCAUGGUGGGGGUUGGAAAGUUUCGGCGGUAGGGGAUGGACUCGCGGCUUAUGAGCUUGUUGGUGGGGUAGUGGCUUACCAAGGCUUUGACGGGUAGCCGGCCUGAGAGGGUGACCGGCCACAUUGGGACUGAGAUACGGCCCAGACUCCUACGGGAGGCAGCAGUGGGGAAUAUUGCACAAUGGGCGGAAGCCUGAUGCAGCAACGCCGCGUGCGGGAUGACGGCCUUCGGGGUGUAAACCGCUUUCGCCUGUGACGAAGCGUGAGUGACGGUAAUGGGUAAAGAAGCACCGGCUAACUACGUG
rnacentral:rRNA from 1 species